UCCUUGCUCACUCCAUUUGGAAAUUUACUUAAAUGUGACUAUUUUGGCAAGGUCUAUUUUGCUCCUCCACAUAACUAACUUCCCCUUUUUCCAAUGCCCUCUGUCUCCCUUGCCUAUUUAAUUUUCCUCUACAAUACUUAUCAACUAUCUUAUAUACUUUGUAUUUUACUCAUUUAUUUUCUUUAUUAUCUGUGUCCUCUGUAACAGAAUAUAAGCUGUAUGAUAGCAAAGAUUUCCAUUUUGUUCAUAGCUCUAUCUCCAGUGCCUAGAAUAGUUCCUGGGACAUAAUAGACACUUGUGAAAUCUUGACCAAAUGAAUACUUUCUUUCUUCACCUUUUAAUUGGUGACUCCAAAUAUGAAAAAUAAAUGGACAUGUACCUCUUUGGGAUGGUAGACACUUAGAUGUCUACUGUCAGUCCAAGAACAAGAAAGAACUCUAGGAGCUUAAUUUAUUUAAGAGGACAUUCAUACAUAAUGUUAUACAACUGGAGGGAAUGAAAAAUGUGAAAAAUGUAAUGCUGAUAGGAGAGACUGAGCUUAGGGGUACUGGAAUCUUCAAGUGCAAUGGAGACAACUAAUUGAGUCAUACAAUAAAUUAUCGAAAGAAGUACGUAAUAGAGAUCUUCUAUACCAAAAUAAAAUAGUGUUAAACUAUGGAAUAAGAUAUGUUAAAACUGUAAGUAAAACAGGUAUUGAUGCAUGUUUGUCUUGAUUGUUAUGUUGCAUUAUUUGGAAUGAAUUUUUUUUUAAUUUUGUGGCCCUUACUACUGGUGUGACAAUUUCUAGUUGCAUAUCCAACAAAAUUACCACUACUAGAUUUUUGCAGAUCUGCUAGCAAUAUUUGUUUAUUUUGUCUUACAUCUGCGUGAUUUUUUAAAGCUCUAUCCCAAUGCCAUACAGCACGACCAGAUUGAUAGGUCAAUCCCUUCUUUAACUUUGAGAAUGCUACUAGACAUCGUUUUCAAUCCUGAUAAUUGGUACAAACAGUACUGUGGACAAAGGAAAAGUGAAAUGGAAUUUGCUCAAUUGUUGUGAAGCAUGCAACAUAGCAUCUUAUUAAUGCGAUAAAAGCCUAAUAAAAGCCUCGGCACCCAUCAGCUGGGCUGUAAUGAGCACAGAAAAAUUUCUUCUAUAAAACAAGGAUAAGGCUUAUCUUUACUAACCAGUAAAAAAAUACUGGAAAAGAUGAUGUUAAAGUGAUCUAUGAACUUCUUGGAUUAUGAAGCCUUUCAUCUCAUGUAAAAAGCAUGUGAGUAGCUCUUUGGAAUAGUGAGGGGCAGAGCUUGUAACAUCAUCUCUCAGAGAAGUAAAGCUGUUUGCUUCUCAUACAGACUUGUGAUGACAGAGACUUGCAUUUUGUUGCUUUUAUUAUUUCGUCAAUGUUGACUGUCUUUUUCAUGGAAACAAUUGCUAAAAAUAUUCCGUUUCAUCAUUUAGAUUCUUAUGACUUGCUGAGAAUGCUUUUCAGAAGGAUGUUUAAAUCAUUAAUUACAAUAAACAUUGGCUUUGUAACCUUAUCUAAGAACUACAACUCCAAUAUUUCCAAAUGUUAUUUUUAAUAACACAGAUUGUCUAAAAGCAUAGUUAAUCAAAUUCAAAGAGUUGUCUCACAUUCGUGCCUCUCAUCUACCUCAUUCCAUGACAGCAGAAAGAAAUUGACUUUUUAUUUAAAAUUUCUUGGUUUUCUAAGUCAUUACUUUCAUUAAAUUGCCUUCAUAAUAUAAGACUAACAGCUUUUUGAUAAACAGAGGUCAAAAACAUGACUUUUAUUUUUAAAAAAUUAAUAUAUAUCCUAAUUUUGGCUGCAUUUGAAGAAAGCACAAACACAAAAUAACUCGCGGGUAUCCUGGCCAAUAUGUUUCAACUGCAACUUAACUUUCUUUUUAUGUACACAACUGGAAACAAGUAGGUGAAAUUUUUUAAAAAGCCAAAGAAUGAGAGCCAAUGGUCUCUCCCUUGGUAUAUCUGCUCAAUGUGCAAAGGGAUCAGAAUUUAUUCAUGGGAAACUGCUGUCUCAUUUUUCUCUGGUGUCAUAAGAUAUCCUUGCUUGUAAGGACAUUCUAGAAACCUGUAGAUAAUCUUAUUUGAAGCUUUCUAGUCUACAAUCAAGUUCCAAGAAUCAGUGUCCAUAUUUACUGUGUCAUUUGUCUACAGGUUUUUAUGUAGACAAUACAGGAAAUUUACAAUACAGGAAAGCCCAUUGCUUUCUUAUGGUCAUAUACUACUUUUAAUUUUUCAAAGUGCUUUCAAAACAAAAGUGAAAAAUAAGUGUAUUCCCUGUGAGGGUGACAUUGCCAUAUAUGUCCAGCUUAGAUAUUAAGAAUGUUAACGUAAAAAAUAAUGCCAAAUAAUUUUUAAGUGUUCAAAAUUUGUUGAACAUUAUCAGGUAAACAUGACAUAAUUGGUGAAUCGUAUUUUCAUGUGAGGCUCAGCCACUUAUAACAUAAGUAUCACUAUCCAUGAAUGUGCCAUGAGGCUUCUCAGCCACUUAUUCAAAUGCAACUUAAAGGGAAAUGGAAACCUUCUACUCAAAUAUUUAGAUUCUAAAGGAAAAUGUAUUUCUAGAUUUAAAUGAUUUUUCCAUUUUUAUUUAUUUCUUCUAUUUCUUUGUAAUAUAAUUGUUCUUACCAAGUAUUUAUCAACAAGUUAUGCCUUUUAUUAAAAAAAUUCUUAAAUUUUUAUUUUAACUGGUCGACAAUCAUCUACCUGAUGAAGAAUACUGUAAAUGGAAUAAUGCAAUAACUCCCAUAAAUAUGUAUCUUGUUUAUCUUAGUGAUAUACAAAAUAUUUUCUAAAGCUGUAUCUACAAAGUCAACAUGAACAGAGGUGAAACAUGGGAAU
rnacentral:lncRNA from 10 species